CUCCUACGGGAGGCAGCAGUAGGGAAUAUUGGACAAUGGGCGCAAGCGUGAUCCAGCAAUGCCGCGUGUGUGAAGAAGGCCUGCGGGUUGUAAAGCACUUUCAGUAGAGAAGAAAAGCCUCGGGUUAAUACCCCGGAGUCUUGACGUAACCUACAGAAGAAGCACCGGCUAACUCCGUGCCAGCAGCCGCGGUAAUACGGAGGGUGCGAGCGUUAAUCGGAAUUACUGGGCGUAAAGCGCGCGUAGGCGGCUAGGUCAGUCGAAUGUGAAAGCCCCGGGCUUAACCUGGGAAUUGCACUCGAUACUGCCUGACUAGAGUAUGGGAGAGGGAAGUGGAAUUUCCGGUGUAGCGGUGAAAUGCGUAGAUAUCGGAAGGAACACCAGUGGCGAAGGCGACUUCCUGGCCCAAUACUGACGCUGAGGUGCGAAAGCGUGGGUAGCGAACAGGAUUAGAUACCCUGGUAGUCCACGCCGUAAACGAUGAGAACUAGAUGUCGGGAGGAUCUGCCUCUCGGUGUCGCAGCUAACGCGUUAAGUUCUCCGCCUGGGGAGUACGCCGGCAACGGUAAAACUCAAAGGAAUUGACGG
rnacentral:rRNA from 1 species